AUACCUACCUGGUAGGAGAGAUACCAUGAUCAUGAAGAUGGUUUCCCUGGGUGAGGCGUAUCCCCUGUACUCUGGAUGUGUUGACCCCUGCAAUUUCCCCAAAUGUGGGAAACUCUACUGCAUAAUUUGUGGUAGUGGGAGACUACAUUGUACUCUCGCC
rnacentral:snRNA from 1 species